AACGAACGCUGGCGGCAUGCCUAACACAUGCAAGUCGAACGAGAUCUUCGGGUCUAGUGGCGCACGGGUGCGUAACGCGUGGGAAUCUGCCCUUUGGUUCGGAAUAACAGUUGGAAACGACUGCUAUUACCGGAUGAUGACGAAAGUCCAAAGAUUUAUCGCCAGAGGAUGAGCCCGCGUAGGAUUAGCUAGUUGGUGUGGUAAAGGCGCACCAAGGCGACGAUCCUUAGCUGGUCUGAGAGGAUGAUCAGCCACACUGGGACUGAGACACGGCCCAGACUCCUACGGGAGGCAGCAGUGGGGAAUAUUGGACAAUGGGCGAAAGCCUGAUCCAGCAAUGCCGCGUGAGUGAUGAAGGCCUUAGGGUUGUAAAGCUCUUUUACCCGGGAUGAUAAUGACAGUACCGGGAGGAUAAGCUCCGGCUAACUCCGUGCCAGCCGCCGCGGUAA
rnacentral:rRNA from 1 species